GACGUAGGGCGCGAGCGUUGUCCGGAUUUAUUGGGCGUAAAGAGCUCGUAGGCGGCUUGUCGCGUCGACUGUGAAAACCCGGGGCUCAACUCCGGGCCUGCAGUCGAUACGGGCUGGCUUGAGUGCGGUAGGGGAGACGUGGAAUUCCUGGUGUAGCGGUGAAAUGCGCAGAUAUCAGGAGGAACACCAAUAGCGAAGGCAGCUCGCUGGGACGUACUGACACUGAGGCGCGAAAGCGUGGGGAGC
rnacentral:rRNA from 1 species